rnacentral:rRNA from 1 species
GAUGAACGAGGGGGGAGGGAGGAACACAGGCAAGUCGAACGGAAAGGCUCCUGCUUGCAGGGGUACUCGAGUGGCGAACGGGUGAGUAACACGUGGGUGAUCUGCCCUGCACUUCGGGAUAAGCCUGGGAAACUGGGUCUAAUACCGGAUAGGACGAUGGUUUGGAUGCCAUUGUGGAAAGUUUUUCGGUGUGGGAUGAGCUCGCGGCCUAUCAGCUUGUUGGUGGGGUAAUGGCCUACCAAGGCGUCGACGGGUAGCCGGCCUGAGAGGGUGUACGGCCACAUUGGGACUGAGAUACGGCCCAGACUCCUACGGGAGGCAGCAGUGGGGAAUAUUGCACAAUGGGCGCAAGCCUGAUGCAGCGACGCCGCGUGGGGGAUGACGGCCUUCGGGUUGUAAACUCCUUUCGCUAGGGACGAAGCGCAAGUGACGGUACCUGGAGAAGAAGCACCGGCUAACUACGUG